AUUGAACGCUGGCGGAAUGCUUUACACAUGCAAGUCGAACGGCAGCACGGGGCAACCUGGUGGCGAGUGGCGAACGGGUGAGUAAUACAUCGGAACGUGCCCAAUCGUGGGGGAUAACGUAGCGAAAGUUACGCUAUAGGCCAUACGAACUACCGAUGAAAGCGGGGGAUCGCAAGACCUCGCGCGAAUGGAGCGGCCGAUGUCAGAUUAGGUAGUUGGUGGGGUAAAGGCUCACCAAGCCAACGAUCUGUAGCUGGUCUGGGAGGACGACCAGCCACACUGGGACUGGGACACGGCCCAGACUCCUACGGGAGGCAGCAGUGGGGAAUUUUGGACAAUGGGCGCAAGCCUGAUCCAGCCAUUCCGCGUGCAGGAUGAAGGCCUUCGGGUUGUAAACUGCUUUUGUACGGAACGAAACGGUACUCUCUAAUACAGGGGGCUAAUGACGGUACCGUAAGAAUAAGCACCGGCUAACUACGUGCCAGCAGCCGCGGUAAAAC
rnacentral:rRNA from 1 species